UACGUAGAUGGCGAGCGUUAUCCGGAAUGACUGGGUGUAAAGGGUGCGUAGGCGGCAUAUCAAGUCAGAUGUGAAAUACCCGUGCUCAACAUGGGAACUGCAUUUGAAACUGAUAAGCUAGAGUACAGGAGAGGAAAGUGGAAUUCCUAGUGUAGCGGUGGAAUGCGUAGAUAUUAGGAGGAACACCAGUGGCGAAGGCGACUUUCUGGACUGUAACUGACGCUGAGGCACGAAAGCAUGGGGAGCGAACAGG
rnacentral:rRNA from 2 species